AUUGCGCAGCGAUAGUUCCUGGGGGCCAAGUGUCCCGUGUGCAGGUUCGUGCCGCUUAGGGUGGGGGUCUGUCAUGUAGCUUGGGAGGAUCGGGUGCCUGGCUGCGGUUCCACUCUUGGGUACGGUUCCCCCCCGGCUCCCGACCCGUGGGAGGUCUUGUGCUGGUCGAGGAGUUGGGCCCUGCAGGUGGACGGGAUGUGGUGUAGGUGUGUUGCGGAUGCCAGCAGCGCUGAGCCUCCGUGGUUUAGGUGUUCGUCGCGUCUUCCUCCUCCUCCUGCUGCUUGCUGCCGGAGUGGUGUC